UUUUAUUUUGUAAUUAAAAACACAGUUCAAUUUCCAGACAGAUGAGCUCUUUGAGCUGAUUCCCUGUAUAGCUGCUCUUGUGUCGAAGGCAGUGGGGUGACAGGGCUGUGGCAGCCCAGACUUUAGAGUGAGCUGCUGUAAAACUCUAAUCUAAACAAGCAGCUUUAUCAUGUCUUUACCACAGAGAUGCCAUGGGGUCUUCCUUGGGUGUUUCUUUAGGUCGUCUCCCACCCAGACACCCAAGCCCUGCAUUCAAUCUUGAUGCCGCUUUGCUUGUGCUCCCUCCAGCACGGCAGAGGCAGCUCAGCACCUUACCUUGAGGGGCAGACAAAAGCCACACCACUUCUUUGCUGCUGUGUUUCCAAUGGUCUCCCGCAAUUCCCCCCUAUUCUUUCAGGCAUAAAGAGGUUAUUGUGUCACCCCCAGCAACCCAUGACUGCCACUGACAACCAAAGCGUGAUGCGCGGCGGGACGUGCCCCACACAAGCAGGCUUUGUACCCGGGGCACUGCGCUGAAGUGGCCACGUUCAAGUGUGGCCUCACAGUGUGACUUCUCCCACCCCAGCCGGGGCUGCUCCAUGUGCUCCAAAUGCUAAUCGAACUGCUUAAACCCGCAGUGGAAGCACAGACAAAAGCUCCUCUGGCAUCUCCCCAGGCGCAGCAUCCUGGCCCUGUGGAGGUCUGCUGCAGCAGCAGCUCCGAAAGAUGGGCCUGGCCCUGCAGAGCAGCGUGGAGAGAGCUGCAGGUUUGGCCCUCAGGUCCCUGUGCGUGCCCCACCUCAGCUUGCCACUCCUCUUUAGUCACUGUGAAGUGACUGCAGUCACAGCCCUUCUCAGAAACGUGCACAGAAUCUUGUGUUAUGUGCACAUGCCCCCUCUCCUCACGAACAGGUAACAGCAGAGCAAUUCAGAGCAAUGCUUCCCUUCACCCCAGCCCGAUGCGGGGCUGGGGAUGGUGUGUGGAGGGAGAAGGGUGGCUCGGAGGACUGGAAAUGCUGACUGGAAAUGCUGUUUCCACAGCCCGGGAAACACGCUGCGUAUGCUCCUGGCAAACAAGCGUAUUUAAGAAACGCAGCACACGCUGCGCUACUUCUUCUUCUUCACAAAUGGCCCACUGGAGCCAAAAAUCAAACCCAUUUCCUGCUUAUUUGUUCGAAUUUUCAAAAUAUUUGACUGAGUGAAUGUCAAGCAGUAUCCUGAAGACAAUACUUCAUAGAAGGAAAGACUAUUUGGAGAUCGCUGUGUUCCCUUAUUUCACUGCACUUUCCAGAAAUGGAAAAUCUUCCUUGCUGGUCUCCUGGCUGUUGUGUGGCAGGGUGGACAAUGCCAGCUGAUGACAGCCACAGACAUCACCGACUCACACACGUUAGCAUUUGAGUGCUCAGACCUGUCUCCAUUGUCACUGGUAGCCUGCAUCUCUCUUGAAGGGUUAAAUAAGUUUUUCCUUUAAUAAGGAGACAGCACCAGCUGAUUAAACCCCAGUAUUUAUGCAUGUAUUUUGCUAAUGCUUUUGAGUGAGAAAAGUAAUUCCUGUAUUAUUCAGGCAUGCUCUCAUCUAGGAGAAGCAGGAUUUCUCAACUCCUGUUUGGAUUAAGUUGGGAAUAUACAAUUUAAGCAAAGUUUGUUAAAUGCCAUAUAUAUACUAAGAAGUUAGACAAACCUUUUCAGUAGUUAUGUUUGAGUGUAACUGAGACUAGAACUCAGAUUUUAUUAUUUUGAUGGCUUACAUGCAAGAAUGAAAAAAAAUGUAAUAUAAUAUAAAGCAAUAACCAAACUGCCAGUCAGCCAAGCAGGACAGGCUUACACUUUUGAAUACACUACACAUUUGAAAAUGAUGAGAAAAGCAGAGAAUUUGAAAAACACUGUCAGCUUGGGAGUUUUUGUUUGUUUUUGAAAGUUAUGUUGAUAAUGAUAGUGCUUAAAUCAGAACAAUAUAAACAGACUGCAACUUAAAACUUUACUUUUUACUUAAACCCACAAAAAUGUAAGUAUAGGCUGGAGUUCAUAACAAGCUGGGCCCUUCCCCUUAACAAAAGCAAAAACAAACAAACAAACAAACAACCCCAAACUGAAAUCAAAUGCUCAGUUUGAUUAUCCAACUGUUUGGCUCAAAGGUGCAACUGGCUUGUCUUUCUGUGGUUUGUAUGAAACCCAGAAGAACAUUGGGUCCUGACUGCUAGACACAACUCCCAUGCUUCCAAAAGCUGAGCAUGCACCAUACACUGCCCUGUGUGAAAUCCUACAUGGAAACAUCAGGUGGAGAACAAGAACUCUUCCUGCAGGUUAUACCUGCCCUCCCUCACGUAACACUGAUAGCAGGAAACAACUGUAACUGCUGAUAUAUCAGAAACAGCCCUUGAAUGUUUCUGCCUUUCAUCCACAUAUAAUAAAAGAUCACUUCCAUUUGAGAUUCUCCAAAACCAUGUGUUUUUUUUCUGAUACGUCAUACAUAAGGGUGACACAAAAGUAAAUAUGUUACCACUUUCACAAGUUGUAUGAUGGACUAAAUACCCGCAUCAUCCAGAAUUUGGUUACGGAAGGGCUGUAUUUUCUUUUUGACUCCCUAGUAACAGACAUAUUGUCAGUGUCCAGUGAAGGUUAAAAUUCUACUGGACCCUAGCUGUGUACCUUCUAUGCAGGCUUUGAGAAGUGAUUUCCAUACCUGCUGAAGCAAUUAACCAUUAGUGCAGCAGCUGGGCUAGAGCAAGUGAGACAACUGCCAUGUGCUUCUUGUUGGAAAGCAGCUUCAGGUCUGAAGAGCAGCCUUGUCAGACGUUCACCUGGUUCCACUGCUUGCAUUUACAGCUCAAAGACCCUGGAAAUGCUGUGGCUGAAUAGCCACCUUCUUAGCACCCCGCUCCGUGCAAAGCUUCCCUGGUACCUGAUUAGGAAAACACUGCAGGGGAUUCACAGGAAGGGGGCUGGGCUCAGGAGAAAGCAUUAAACCUUCGCGUGUAGCUUCUCAUGUGACCGGGCUGGCGGGCCAGUGAUUGCGGGCUCCAUUGGCAGGCAGUGGCUUGCGGAGACCUGGGAAUUACUGUAUAGGAUUGGGAGAGAAUGCCAGCAAUGCACACAGAGCCCAGGGGGGAGGAUGAAAGGCAAACGCCACGCAAGGAAUGAAUUCAGAAAUAUGCAUGCAAUUUCUGAAUGACUUCUUCCCCUUGGCUGAACCUGCACACCAGUGUCUACAGCCACCAGUGAAAGCCGUAUGUCCCAGGGCUGAGGAGAUCCGUGCCGGCCCCCUUGGCUCUGCCAGCCCUCUGCUCGCCAGCACCUGCCUCUGAUGGGCACAGGCCACCUGUGCCGCCAGCAGCAAGAGGAGCACGGGGUUGGUGUGCCAUGAACAAAGGCCCUUGCCAAGACACCGGUGGGCCCCCUAAACCAGCUGGCCUCAGGAGCAAAGUGGGGUGUGGCUCUUCUGGAUGGUGGUGGCAAUGCUGUGGGGCCGUGGUGAAACCCAUAGCUGAGGGCAAGGGAGGUAAAAUUCACUGUUGCUGCUUCAGCCAUCUGAACCAAGCAGUGCCAGAAGAGCCCUUUGGCCGGGGGCAGAGCUCAGCUGGUGCCACCUCCAUUGUCACCGUGGUGGCUGGGGGCCCACCUGUCCUGCGGCUGGCCUUCCCAGGUGGCCGCAGUCAGAUGGGGUGUGCGGGCGUGGGCUUUGAAAGCACACUCAGGAACAGUAACUUGCUGCUUCCCCACAGUGUAUAAUUUUGGAAAGAGGGGAGGAGGGCCAUGUAGAAAUGGUGUCCCUGCAGCUCCUCACUUGGCAUGGUAGAACCAUCUUUUAUUAUCCUUUGGGGCUACAGCUGAAAACAAAAAAUGCUUUCAUUUCAGUUUGGCAGCAGCUCUGGUUGUGUGUGCUCUGGCUGCUUCCUUAAUUACAGUGGUUGUUGACAACUUCUGAUAGAGACCCUCUCUUUGAGCAGUCCCCCCACUCCCCCACUUUUUUUGCAGUCUGAACACAUAGCACACCAGGACGUUCUGUAAAAAUAAGCUCACUGUAACUCAGUGAUUCCCAUGCCACAGUUAUGCUCUCUUCUGUCCUCUCAGUUUGUGCUGCUGCUGUUUAUUUCCUCUUUCUGGCUAUAAGACAUUUUAUUUAUUAGUGCUGGAUUUCCUGUUGCCUGCAGCUGCCCGUUCUUUACUCUCCCCAGUGCAUUUUGCCACUGGAGACUGUCUGUAGGUUUGUUGUCCCCCUGACUGAGGUACUCUCGUCAAGUUUGGUUGGUUGUAUUAAACAACACUUGACAAAGAGGAGGCUUGCAUGGCAGCCUGGGCACACAAACGCACCCCUGGCCCCCCCAGUAAACCAAAGGCUGGCAUGGGAAGCUCUCAGAGGCAGAGGAGGGGUCCCUUUUUAUGACUUACUGAUGCAGAGAUUAUGCUUUUCCAGAUGGGAGGAACACCUCUUGUUUUGCUUGCACACACUGCACCACGCAGGGGAAGUCAGCUGCACACGCCUGCUGGUCCGACUGACAUGGGGUUAGAAGUUUGCAAGCAUUUAUAUUUCAGACUGUGGGCCACAUCAUGGCAGAAACAUCAUGCAGACUUUACAGAUGUGAGGUUCAUGAAUGACUUCCCUGAUCUCCUGUGGACAUUCAACAUCCUUGUAGUAAACAGAAAAAUUGCUUAUACAGAAAGUGAGAUCAUGAAGUGGAAAAAAAUGUUUUGCUGCUUUGAACAUGACUUCCCUGCUGGAAGGAAGAAGGUGGCAAAAGCUCUUCACGCUCUGUGUACUACCAGCAAGGCCAGGUGAAAAACCUCUCUCAUCUGCUCUGGGGGGAAGUGCUUCAUGUAAAUUCUCUGUUGUCCAAUAGCUAUCUGGUAUUAUUUCAAAUGGCAGAGAAUAAGGUUGAAGCAGCACCUAAUGGUAAUAUUCUCUCUCUUAUGUGUAAGGUGCUGCCCUAAUUUUAUCAUCUUCUCUUUCUGUUUGAAAGGGAUUUGGGGCCCAAAAACUGAGUAAGGAGGGUUAGGGGUGAAGUGAACCCCAAGACAUGGAGGUGUGUUUUACAGCAGUGCAGCCGUGGUCCUGUCAGCUGUGAUCCUUUCAGCUGUUGGUCAUGGUGGGCAGUUGCUGGCAGAGAAGCUCUGCAGGUGCAGCACCAUUUGACACUUCUUCCUUUGUCAGAUGUUCCAGAGCCGCCCAUGACCAUUAAAUAGGGAACAGUCCUCUGACAUCUUCCAGGUAAAAUGGAAAUGGAAGAUCCUGAGCAUUUGAAUUAUGAAAGAUCCCAGUGUGUUACCUGCAAGCCAGCAUUUUAACCCCAGUGUCCUGGCCAAAUUCCAGCUCUGUUAAUUACAUCCUGCUUAUGUGAAAAUUCCCCUGCAUUUGUACACUGCUUUCUUCCUCACUUGUUUUCAGCAGCUGUGUGGAGUUGCCAGGUGCGGCGAAGCGCUUGCCAUGUUCCACCUCAGGCCUGGCUGCCUUUCAGCAGGGAAUGAAAUGAGCACUGUGCACAGCAUUUGCACUGAGUUUGGAUCCUGUGCAGGGAAGAGUGCUAGAGAAGCAGCCUAUCCAAGGACCAGUGCUGGAGCCUUGUCACAAAGGGUAACAGCAUUAAGAGGUCAAAGGUUCUAGUGCUGGGGUAUGUCAUAAGGUCACAGGAGAGACAGGAGGACUGAUUUUCCUCCCAGUAUCUCUCAUCUGCAAGGGCUGGAAUAGCUGGUACAUACUGAUCUGGUUUUGGUAGCUGACUGACUUCAGGUUUGUUUGCACAGUGGGAGAAGCUCUCAGUCCUGCUUACAUUGGUCACUGUCAAUAUAUAUCUAGUUUGCAUGUUUGGGUACCUAUCAGUGUGAAGGGAAGCUAAGGGGAAAAUAAUUUAAGAACUUUAAAUCUAUAGGUUUGUUUCCUUCUCUUCCACUUCAUGACUCAUGUGCGUGCACAUUGUUUUUUCUUGGCCCUCCUGGGAACAAAUGCCUUCAACUGACCAUUAAUCCCUCUGGUAAAAAUCUCACUCAUACCACUGGAGAAGAACUGGCUGAUGGAUUAUCCCUCUCUUUGAAGAGGUGAAAGAGAUGGCUGCAGCUGUAGUUACAGGAUGCUAAUAAUAAGAAGCAGUAAGAAAUGCAAGUCAUGUACAGUAGGGUAAUGAAAUUACAUAUAUCCAAUACAGGAGUGACUUACUGGCUCAUCUGUCCAAUUUUCUUGUCAGCCAAGCUCUCUUGUUGAUUAUGGCAUUUUUACCACAGUUCUGCCUGAAACAUGAUAUGGAAGUACAUACAAAUGUGUCUGAGGUUGCUCCCAACAGAACACCAACUCCACUGGCAGCAGUGGGGGCAGAACAUACCCAAGAUAGACAAAGCAGUGACUUGAUUUUUUUUUCCCCACCUCACAUUCCUCUUUGAUCUUUUCAACAUCUUAAUUCCAUGGGACAGCAGUUGUGGGCAAGGGGGAAAACCCACGUUGUCUCAAGGCAUGAUGCCAGCAUGUUUUCACUAUAUCCUUGGAAAGGGACUACAGCAAGCCUUGGAGAGGGAGGGAAUGGGUGUUGUUUGUGGUAUAAGACAGAGAGCAGGGACUCAAAGACCCAAGUUCUCUUACCACGCUGCCCCUGUGACUUCAGCAAAGCACAACUAUUUUGGUUGGUCUCAUUAGCCCCGUCUUUAAACUGUGCUUGCUUCAUAGGGAUGAGAAGAAGGGGAUUAAGCUUUAAUUCACUGAUGUUUGUAAAACAUUUUAGAACUUGAUGGAAAUUUCCCAGGUAGUGCAGAGAGCAUUGAAAAGCUUAUCUCCCUCUCCAACUGCAAAUGGCUCUGCAGUAUGAGAGAAAUGAGGGAAAACAGUGCUUACAUUCUGGUGUUUAUAAUAAUGAAACCCUCUAGCUUCCCCUCCUUCCAUGUUUUUUUUGGUUUUUUUUUUUUUAAAUAGGGAGAGACAGCAAUGAGAAAUUUUAGUAUAAACAGAGUGCAGUUGCUCCCUGGAGACUUGAAUGCAGCUCAGUGGAAUUUUCCCUGCCUUCAGUCUUUUGUACUCCUUAAAGGUCCUGGAACCAGGCAUGUGACUGUAAGAGCAAAAAAACACUUCUCUGUCUGAGUGCUCUACCAAAUAUUUACAAGAUACUCAGAUAAAAUGGCUACAAGCAAGUUCAGCAGGGUUUGAGUGGCCGGUAGUGCAGCACUGUCAGGAAGAAAAUCUAAAUCUUAGCUAAAACAAAAUUAAAAUUACAUGUUACAAAGGUCUCUUCAAAGCACAAAACUGGUAACACUGAAGCUGGAAAAUUGUUCUUCCCCAGGGUGAAAUGUAUUACUUUUAGAAGUAGCUUAUUGAAAUGCAGUUGCUUCCUUGUUGUGAUGGAAACUUCUUGUUAAAGGAGAGCCCAUAGCUGUGUGAGCAGAUAGCUGCAGAAUGUCCUCUCCAUGCCGUCCUUCCAGGUCUCUGACACUGCCACACUUAAGGGUGUGCAGUACUUUUUUAGUAGGGGCCACAUGCUCCCAGGAACUCUCUCAUCAGCCCCAGACUGCCUAGCAAACAGCAGAUGGCAACCUGCCUGCCUGGCUGCCCGGGGUGGCCUCAGUGCAGCUCAUUUCCUUGCUGGGUUACCUGCAGCCACCUCGGCAGCACUCCAGACCUCUCACAUUUCUGUACAGGUUACUCUGCUUUUCAAGAGGUUUCCCUGUGACGGCAGAGGGAAAGAACCUGCUGACAGACCCAGCAGGUUCUCAGGCCAGUGGUGGCCGUGCAGCAGCAGCUGGCACUAACUGAACCCACGGCUUUCCCGUAGGCUUGAGAGCCAGGAACAACCGGAUCAUGAUCACAGCACAGCCAGGGAUGCUUUGAGCGGCCUUGAGCAAGCCAUACAUUCUCUAAGUCUGUAAGUCCCUCCAGCUGACCCACGGAGACAAGCUCCAUCACAGCACAGAGAGCCCUCAGGUGCCUGAAGGACUCUGCAGAACAGCCAGCUCAUACUUGGGCUGGUUCCUACUGUGCUGUACCAAAGCUUUGAAGAAAGUCAAUAAACCUGAAAGGAGGAAAGUGAAAGCCAGGAUAUUUCACAGCAACAAGCCAUCGUCAACAGAGGUGAUAUUGUAGAAGAAACACAAGGCUUAUUACACAGGUUGUCAAACCAUUUGAGCCAAUUCCAGACUACUCCAGAUGUGUCACCAGUCUGCAGAAGCUUGGCUCUGGAGAUAGGGAUCUGCCUGCCAGCCUGCAGCCUUCCCAGUGCUUUCAGACCCAAGGGUCAAGUUCCUGCUGCCACACUCAUCCCUGGCUGUGCUGCCAGAUGUGCUGCAGGAUGAAGGGCACAC